GAGGAGUUAGGGGCGCAGCCUGAUGCAGCCAUGCCGCGUGUAUGAAGAAGGCCUUCGGGUUGUAAAGUACUUUCAGCGGGGAGGAAGGGAGUAAAGUUAAUACCUUUGCUCAUUGACGUUACCCGCAGAGGAAGCACCGGCUAACUUAGUGCCAGCAGCCGCGAUAAUAGA
rnacentral:rRNA from 1 species